ACACAUGCAGUCGAGCGGCAGCACGGGGAGCUUGCUCCCUGGUGGCGAGCGGCGGACGGGUGAGUAAUGCAUAGGAAUCUGCCCGGUAGUGGGGGAUAACGUGGGGAAACCCACGCUAAUACCGCAUACGUCCUACGGGAGAAAGCAGGGGAUCUUCGGGCCUUGCGCUAUCGGAUGAGCCUAUGUCGGAUUAGCUAGUUGGUAAGGUAACGGCUUACCAAGGCGACGAUCCGUAGCUGGUCUGAGAGGAUGAUCAGCCACACUGGGACUGAGACACGGCCCAGACUCCUACGGGAGGCAGCAGUGGGGAAUAUUGGACAAUGGGCGAAAGCCUGAUCCAGCCAUGCCGCGUGUGUGAAGAAGGCUUUCGGGUUGUAAAGCACUUUCAGCGAGGAAGAAAGCCUCUGGGCUAAUACCCCAGAGGAAGGACAUCACUCGCAGAAGAAGCACCGGCUAACUCCGUGCCAGCAGCCGCGGUAAUACGGAGGGUGCGAGCGUUAAUCGGAAUUACUGGGCGUAAAGCGCGCGUAGGUGGCUUGGCACGCCGGUUGUGAAAGCCCCGGGCUCAACCUGGGAACGGCAUCCGGAACGGCCAGGCUAGAGUGCAGGAGAGGAAGGUAGAAUUCCCGGUGUAGCGGUGAAAUGCGUAGAGAUCGGGAGGAAUACCAGUGGCGAAGGCGGCCUUCUGGCCUGACACUGACACUGAGGUGCGAAAGCGUGGGUAGCAAACAGGAUUAGAUACCCUGGUAGUCCACGCCGUAAACGAUGUCGACUAGCCGUUGGGACCUUUAAAGACUUAG
rnacentral:rRNA from 1 species